ensembl:lncRNA
GGGGACCCAGGGAGCUUGGAUCUCACUGGCAAACCUGGAAAGCCUGGAAUCAGAGGUGUCAAAGGCAGAGAGGGUUCAGAGGGGCUUCACGGCAGUCCUGGAGACAAGGUUAGUGGUUUUGUAAAAUGUAACAGUCACAUCAUGUGACACACCAUAUGAUGACAAAAUGUAAUGCAAUAAAAAGCUGAAAACAUUAUUAGCUACGUUUAACAGUAAUCAGCAGCAGAAGCAAAAGUUUCCUUUCAUUUUUUGCGUUCAAAUCAAACCUCCUUUCAUUCACAAGCCAUAUGUUCUACUGUCUGUUCUCUACUUAUAAUUUAUAUCCAAAUGCAUUUUAGAAUAUUUUCAUUUGAUAUUAGGGAAAAAUGGUCCUGAGGGGCCCAAAGGAAAACCUGGUCAGCCAGUAAGUGCCUUAUAGGUUGUAUAUAUUUACAUUUUUUCCUCAUUCAGUAACAUUAAACUUUAGGUUCCAAAACUCUUUGAAUAUAUUGAUUUCUCUGUUUAGGGUCCUCUAGGCCUGCCAGGAGAGAAGGGCUACCGAGGACCUCCUGUAAAGCAUACAUUUAACAUACAUUUGCAGUCUUUUUGUCAUGAUGCAAUAGCAGGAAUAUUACUAUGCAUUUAUCCAGUUAGUAAUGAUAAAACAUUUGUAAAUGUAAUCUUCUAAAAGGCCCACAAGGAAACAUAGGCCAGUGGUGUGAGACAGGUCUGCAGGGGCCAGUAGGAAAUCAAGGGCCCAUAGGGCCACCGGGGCCACAUGGAGUGGCUGGGUACCCAGUAUGUAUUUUUGGUUUAUUAACAAAAAAUGUUGUGUAUUUGUUUUUUUGUCAGGGGCUGAGUGGUGCUCCAGGGCAGAAGGCAGAUCCUGGAUCCCCUGGUGAAAAAGGUCAGACAGGUCUGAGAGCUUACUCGGGGUUGGUAGGAAGGUACGGUCCUGGAGGGAACAUGGGAAAAUCUGGUGGAAAAGGCGACAAAGGUCUACGUGGACUUGUUUUGGGGCGCUGCAGGAACAAAUGGGCCACCGGGUCCAAAUGGUGCUAUUGGGUUACCGGUAAGUUAGGUUUGAUAUAUUUAACUUAUUGUAUAUUUUUGGAUAUACGGUUGACAUUAAUUUAUUCCAUUCAAAUUUAGGGUUUGCCAGGGAAAAAAUGAUUUGUUGGACAAAGUGGAAAAUUUGGACCAAAAGCAUGUUUUUAUUAUUAUUAUAUUUUUUUUUUACUGAUUAGACUUGACUAUUACAACAUCGUAUGAGUAAGUGCAUCUGUUGUUUUUGUCCCCUGCAGGGAGUGAGAACCUGGAGUUAAAGGGAAUCCAGGCAGCCCUGGGAAGAUUGGAUCAAUGGUAGGUUUUUAACUUUGAAGAUGCAUGCAUUAUUUAGAAAAUGUUGUCUGGUCUUACUGACCUGAAUUUGUUGAAUUUUGCAUGUUGUUUACAGGGCGUUUCAGGCCCAAGUGAGAAGAAAGGAGAGCCUGGAACAAGAGGCAGAAUGGUGAGAUAACACUUUACAACCAGAUUGGUUUCCAAUCUAUUAAAAAAAGGACAAAGACUAAGCUAUUAAAAAAGACAUUUCACACUGGCAUAUGUUAUGCUCAAAUGGACAGUGUUAACAUAUCUAAAUGAUCUAUGCUCCUGUCUAGGGGUCAUUGGGUCAGCCAGGAGCUGUGGGUCCUCGCGGACUAAAGGGAAAACCAGGAUCUUCAGGGCCUUCAGCGGAAAAAGGAGUCAAGGGUCAACCAGGGCCAAAAGUCAGUGUCUCAAUAUUUUAUAGACGUAUCAUUUAAUCUGGUCAUUUUAAGUCUUCACCAGUUGUUUUGAUCAUAUCGGUCACUUCAAGGCCUUGGUCAUUGCUCAUUAAUGUAAUUUACAGGGCCAUGUUGGUAUUAGAGGAUUGCAAGGGCCCAGUGGACCACCAGGAGAAAAGGUAAUUUCAAAUGAAACAUAGAAAGCACAUAAAAAAACAACCAGUUGCUUUUUUUCAGUAGUUAGGAAUGUUUUCCUUCAUCUUGCAGGGAAAGCAAGGUGCUCCAGGGUACAAAGGACGACCUGGGCUGAAAGGCAUACAGGUAAAUAACUGUCUGCUGUAUUUUCGUGGACAUAUUUACUGUGAACUUUUGAUUCUUUAUUCAUAAAUAUGUUAUUUGUUGCAGGGUGUAGCUGGUGCUUGUGGGCCUCCUAGUGAUUUCCCUGCCUUAUCUUUACAGGUAACAGCACAGGUGAGGGUUCUUGGGAAUUUGGACCUCCACGGAGGGGACAUACAACUCCUUCCCAUAAGAGAUGUUCUUUUCCAGGGUGGAGGAGAAACCUGGGAAGGAGAUCCGAGCAUUGUCCUUGGACAUUUGUGCUUUUUAUAGAAUCUUUCCAAAAUUAGAUUCCAUUCACAGAGCACCUGGGAGGAGUGCAUUGUUCCCAGGAUGUAUGCUACAAUUAGGCUUUGAAUAUUGUAUAAUAAUGUAAGCUAGAUUAUGAUUAGUGAAUUUGUUCUCCGGGUUUAUAUUAUUCAGAUUAUUGUUACACUGAAAGUGGUGCAAAAACUGUGUGUUUGUCUGUGAGAGCAUGUCAGUUUAUCUAGACUUGUGUGUCAGUGGGUUGUGAGUAUUUAUGUAAUGAUUUAUGUAAGUUUGUAAGAAUUUGUUAUGGAGGAAAAGAUCAUUUAUUAAACCUUUACCUGGUGCCUCUUUUUUUUAACUGAUAUAAAAAAAAAUUUAAACCCUAUAGGGCAUUUGUACUUUAUAUAUUGCAGAAAUGUUCUCAUGAAAAAUAUGUCAUGAAAUUCUCAGUAUUUUUGCCAUCUUCCUAAAUGAUGCAAUAAACAACCCCUGGAUAAAUAAUUGUUUUUUUUU